rnacentral:rRNA from 1 species
AUUGAACGCUGCGGCAGGCCUAACACAUGCAAGUCGAGCGAGCGGCGGACGGGUGAGUAAUGCUUAGGAAUCUGCCUAUUAGUGGGGGACAACAUCACGAAAGGGAUGCUAAUACCGCAUACUAAUAGAUGAGACUAAGUCGGAUUAGCUAGUUGGUGGGGUAAAGGCCUACCAAGGCGACGAUCUGUAGCGGGUCUGAGAGGAUGAUCCGCCACACUGGGACUGGGACACGGCCCAGACUCCUACGGGGGGGAGCAGUGGGGAAUAUUGGGCAAUGGGGGGAACCCUGCUCCAGCCAUGCCGGUGGGGUGAAGAAGGCCUUAUGGUUGUAAAGCACUUUAAGCGAGGAGGCGUUACUCGCAGAAUAAGCACCGGCUAACUCUGUGCCAGCAGCCGCGGUAAUUC